GAUGAACGCUGGCGGCGUGCCUAAUACAUGCAAGUCGAGCGAACGGACGAGAAGCUUGCUUUUCUGAUGUUAGCGGCGGACGGGUGAGUAACACGUGGAUAACCUACCUAUAAGACUGGGAUAACUUCGGGAAACCGGAGCUAAUACCGGAUAAUAUUUUGAACCGCAUGGUUCAAAAGUGAAAGACGGUCUUGCUGUCACUUAUAGAUGGAUCCGCGCUGCAUUAGCUAGUUGGUAAGGUAACGGCUUACCAAGGCAACGAUGCAUAGCCGACCUGAGAGGGUGAUCGGCCACACUGGAACUGAGACACGGUCCAGACUCCUACGGGAGGCAGCAGUAGGGAAUCUUCCGCAAUGGGCGAAAGCCUGACGGAGNCACGCCGCGUGAGUGAUGAAGGUCUUCGGAUCGNUAAACUCUGCUAUUAGGGAAGAACAUAUGUGUAAGUAACUGUGCACAUCUUGACGGUACCUAAUCAGAAAGCCACGGCUAACUACGUGCCAGCAGCCGCGGUAAUACGUAGGUGGCAAGCGUUAUCCGGAAUUAUUGGGCGUAAAGCGCGCGUAGGCGGUUUUUUAAGUCUGAUGUGAAAGCCCACGGCUCAACCGUGGAGGGUCAUUGGAAACUGGAAAACUUGAGUGCAGAAGAGGAAAGUGGAAUUCCAUGUGUAGCGGUGAAAUGCGCAGAGAUAUGGAGGAACACCAGUGGCGAAGGCGACUUUCUGGUCUGUAACUGACGCUGAUGUGCGAAAGCGUGGGGAUCAAACAGGAUUAGAUACCCUGGUAGUCCACGCCGUAAACGAUGAGUGCUAAGUGUUAGGGGGUUUCCGCCCCUUAGUGCUGCAGCUAACGCAUUAAGCACUCCGCCUGGGGAGUACGACCGCAAGGUUGAAACUCAAAGGAAUUGACGGGGACCCGCACAAGCGGUGGAGCAUGUGGUUUAAUUCGAAGCAACGCGAAGAACCUUACCAAAUCUUGACAUCCUUUGACAACUCUAGAGAUAGAGCCUUCCCCUUCGGGGGACAAAGUGACAGGUGGUGCAUGGUUGUCGUCAGCUCGUGUCGUGAGAUGUUGGGUUAAGUCCCGCAACGAGCGCAACCCUUAAGCUUAGUUGCCAUCAUUAAGUUGGGCACUCUAAGUUGACUGCCGGUGACAAACCGGAGGAAGGUGGGGAUGACGUCAAAUCAUCAUGCCCCUUAUGAUUUGGGCUACACACGUGCUACAAUGGACAAUACAAAGGGCAGCGAAACCGCGAGGUCAGGCAAAUCCCAUAAAGUUGUUCUCAGUUCGGAUUGUAGUCUGCAACUCGACUACAUGAAGCUGGAAUCGCUAGUAAUCGUAGAUCAGCAUGCUACGGUGAAUACGUUCCCGGGUCU
rnacentral:rRNA from 1 species